UAUGGAUUCAGUUAGAAACGGUUAGGAAAGUAACUGUUAGUUGGUUAGGGCAAUAGUGAAUUCUGUUGGAACUGCUUUUCUGUUAUGGCUAUUAGUUUCAUUGUGAAAUUUUGUUAGUGAAUCAAAAUAGAAAAAGGCUAGUUAAAUGCUGUUGGUAAGUUGGUAGUUCAAAACUGCAGUUGGUGACUAUUGGUUCCUAAUGCUGAAAACAAGUAGAAACUGAGUUAGUCUUUGUAUUGGUUUUUUUUUGGACUGAUUUAUUCGACUGGAUGCAGGGCUGUUUGGUAAGCUUAUGAAGUUUGAGACUGAUUCACUAACUGAAGUACUUGCAGGGCAGUGGAGUGGUAGGAUUGUUAUGAGGUUACAGUUUUUGACUUGAAUUGUUUUUUUCCUGAAUGAAUUGGUGUUAGGAUUUUCUGCUGCAGUUUUGUUGUUUAGUUUGGUGAGCUGAUGCUGAUUGGCUUUUGCAUUUGAUGGAUGCUGCAAGUCUGUAUAAGUGGCGAACACGUUCGAAGUUGAAACCAUUAAUUGAUUCCUUGCAUUGUAGCUUCAUUGAGAACCAAAGAUGGCAGGCUGAGAUUAAGUCGACACGAGGGCAGCAGGUUGGUUCAAUGAAUGGGAACAGAAGGUGGGCUUAUGGUCAUAAAGCUUGAAGAUCGAAAUAGCAAAAUCGGAAGUGUGUCUAGAAUAGGAUUAGGAUAUUUUCUUUGUAGUUUUUGAUGUGAAUGUCUCAGUGUAAUAACAUGGAAUUGAUUUUGUGUAAUUGUGGAUGAACUUUGGAUGUCGUAAUGAUAAUGGGAAUUGAAAGAAUGUAUAGAUCGAAUGAAUUUGGACCUUAGUAAAGGGACUUGAAAUGGAUGUAUAGACACUCGACUUUUGUAUUGACUUAUAUUUCAACCAAA